GUGAGCCGUGAGAUGGGAAACCUUCCCACACGGUUCGGAGAGCAGGAGUACAAGUGUACUCUUUUUUCUUUAC
rnacentral:ncRNA from 1 species